rfam:Nicotiana attenuata strain TT chromosome 2, whole genome shotgun sequence.
ACCAAUUCUGGGGGAUAAACAAUUCCUCUCAGGCAUAAUGGCUUAGACGCCAUAUUGGAAGUGGUUAUAUCCUGAUUGAUGGACUCUUACCUGUGCCAUACUAUCCUGGAAACGCCACUUACAUUU